GCUGCAUUUUGACUUAGGAUGGGACUGAUCCAAUCCCGGAUCGGUAUCGGAACUCGAUACUGAUGUAAUUCACGUAUCGGAAAAUACCGAUCCAACCUGCGACAUUUUCCGAUACCAGAGAAGAACCACUGUGAAUCCUCUCAACUGCUGUUGUUUGCUCUCUGCUUGUUUACU